UAGUAGAGAUUCUAUGUGCCCUGAUC
rnacentral:piRNA from 1 species